CCUACGGGCGGCAGCAGUGGGGAAUAGUGGGCAAUGGAGGCAACUCUUACCCAGCAAUGCCGCGUGAAUGAAGAAGGUCUGCGGAUUGUAAAGUUCUUUAAUUGGGGACGAAAAAAAUGACGGUACCCAAGGAAUAAGCCCCGGCUAACUACGGGCCAGCAGCCGCGGUAAUACGUCGGGGGCAAGCGUUGUUCGGAAUGACUGGGCGUAAAGGGUGUGUAGGCGGUGUAGCAAGUUAGAAGUGAAAUACCUAGAGCUUAACUCAGGUGCUGCUUCUAAAACUGCUAUACUUGAGUGCAGGAGAGGCAAGUGGAAUUCCUCGUGUAGCGGUUUAAUGCGUAGAUAUUAGGCGGCACCUCAGUGGCGAAGGCGACUUUCUGGACUGUAACUGACGCUGAGGCACGAACGUGUGGGGCGCAAACCGGAUUAGAUACCCCGGUAGUC
rnacentral:rRNA from 1 species